AUUGAACGCUGGCGGCAUGCUUUACACAUGCAAGUCGAACGGUAACAGGUUAAGCUGACGAGUGGCGAACGGGUGAGUAAUGCAUCGGAACGUGCCCGGUCGUGGGGGAUAACGCAGCGAAAGCUGCGCUAAUACCGCAUACGAUCUGAGGAUGAAAGCGGGGGACCGUAAGGCCUCGCGCGAUCGGAGCGGCCGAUGUCGGGUUAGGUAGUUGGUGGGGUAAGGGCCCACCAAGCCAACGAUCUGUAGCUGGUCUGAGAGGACGACCAGCCGCCCUGGGAGUGGGACACGGCCUAGACUCCUACGGGAGGCAGCAGUGGGGAAUUUUUGACUAUGGGUGAAAGCCUGAUCCAGCAAUGGCGCGUGCAGGAAGAAUGCCUUCGGGUUGUAAACGGCUUUUGUACGGAGCGAAAAGGUCCUUUCUAAUACAAGGGGCUCAUGACGGUACCGUAAGAAUAAGCACCGGCUAACUACGUGCCAGCCGCCGCCGUAA
rnacentral:rRNA from 1 species